GGAGGGUGCAAGCGUUGUUCGGAAUUAUUGGGCGUAAAGAGCGUGUAGGCGGUUGAACAAGUCAGAUGUGAAAUCCCUCGGCUCAACCGAGGAAGUGCAUUUGAAACUGUUCAGCUUGAGUACGGGAGAGGAGAGCGGAAUUCCCGGUGUAGAGGUGAAAUUCGUAGAUAUCGGGAGGAACACCAGUGGCGAAGGCGGUUUUCUGGCCCGAUACUGACGCUGAGACGCGAAAGCGUGGGGAGCGAACAGGAUUAGAUACCCUGGUAGUCCACGCCGUAAACGAUGGAUACUAGGUAUAGGGAGUAUCGACCCCUCUCUGUGCCGAAGCUAAACGCUUUAAGUAUCCCGCCUGGGGGAGUACGGCCGCAAGGCUAA
rnacentral:rRNA from 1 species